GAUGAACGCUGGCGGCGUGCCUAAUACAUGCGAGUCGAGCGAACAGACGAGGAGCUUGCUCCUCUGACGUUAGCGGCGGACGGGUGAGUAACACGUGGAUAACCUACCUAUAAGACUGGGAUAACUUCGGGAAACCGGAGCUAAUACCGGAUAAUAUAUUGAACCGCAUGGUUCAAUAGUGAAAGACGGUUUUGCUGUCACUUAUAGAUGGAUCCGCGCCGCAUUAGCUAGUUGGUAAGGUAACGGCUUACCAAGGCAACGAUGCGUAGCCGACCUGAGAGGGUGGAGAGCCACAAUGAGACUGAGACACGGUACGGACGCAUACGGGAGGGAGCAGCAGGGCAUGUGUGACAAUGUGCGAAAGCUUGAAGGACCAACGUAGCGGGAAUGAAGAAGGUCUUCGGAUAGUAUAACUCUGUUAUCAGGGAAGAACAAAAGUGCAAGGAACUAUGCACGGCUAGACGCUACCGAAACAGAAAGCCACCGCUAACUACAUG
rnacentral:rRNA from 1 species